GAGAGUUCUGGCGAGGGCUGCGGGAAGGAAAGCGGGCGGCGUCCUUCACGGGGAGGGUGCAGCUGACCUCCCUCCCCUUGUGCAAAUUGGAAAAGAAUGGCCCAGAUCCUCUGGACCCCUCAGAUGAGCAGAUUCAGAGAGAAGCUUUUGAGACAGUGCUAGCAAAGACAUUUUUCACAAAAGAGCUCUUGCGGUGCUCGUGUCCAUGGCGUGCCUGGGUGGAAAAUGAGCUUAUAUAUGAAGAAGUCAGCGAGUGGACAAAGCCAGGCGCAAUGGAUAGCAAAGAUGUGGAAGUCUCUCUUCUCGAUUCAAGUUAGAAGAAAACUGCAGCAUGGAGUCUGCUCUCAGCUGUUUGGGAAUUACUGAUGCCUUUGACUAAGUCAAGACUGACUUUUCCAGAAUAUCACCGAAGAGAUAGAGCCGUCCCUGUCCAAGUUUGUGUGCCAGCCCUUCAUGGGGGUCAGAGAGGAAGGCACAAAGGUAGCUGUGGCCUCGGCACUCACAGUGUCAGAACCUGCAAGCCCCAUAGAGAGGUUUCACGCAGGCCACCAUCCCUUUUCGUUCUCCAGCACAGCAGGAUAGAGAGCGUUCUGUUCUGCGGAAGGUUUUUCACUCUACAAGGCAAUCCCUCCAGCUGCUUUGCUGUGUUUUGCUGUCUCCUGUCACACUGUGAAUGCAGUGACCUCAGCCAGCAGCAGGGAGAACCCCCCUGCCUCCAGAACAAAGGACCUCAUGUGAAAUCCUGAGCUCAGAGCUUACAGAUAUGUGUGCACUUUCACUUUACAGAGGCUGUGACUUUCAGACAACUUCAGGAAACUUUGGGAUCUCUGAGGUAUACUGGAGAUUAUAGCAGCGUAGAAUGUUCAUUUGGAUUUAGAACAGAAAUGCUUAUUUUAUAUUUGGCUGCUCUCAAACUGUCCCCAGACUUCCUCUCCAGUGGUUACCCCUCCACUGCCCUGGAUGUCCCAUAUUUACACUCACACCUCCACCCUAACAAAGUCCUCCACGGGGUCAAACCAUACAUCGCUUGAUCUCUGUAGUGACGACUUCCUGUUCUCUGCUCUGUGGAUAAAGACCCCAGAUAAAGAUGCCUGUGUUGCUCAACUCCUGUAAAUACACUGGAAACAUUUUGAAAGCAGAAGGAAAGGAGACAGACGAUGUGGGAAAAUAAAAGGGAUGGUCUGCUUGUGCGGAAACGUUUUGAGAAUGCCCUUCCCUAAGAGAACAGUAAAAGUGAACAAUACUUCCUGA